rnacentral:rRNA from 1 species
AGAACGAACGCUGGCGGCAGGCCUAAAACAUGCAAGUCGAACGCUCUAGUAAUAGAGAGUGGCGCACGGGUGAGUAACAUGUGGGAAUAUGCCUUUUGGUACGGAACAACUUUUGGAAACGAAAGCUAAUACCGUAUGGUCCCUUCGGGGUAAAGAUUUAUCGCCAAAAGAGUAGCCCGCAUUGGAUUAGCUAGUUGGUGAGGUAAUGGCUCACCAAGGCGACGAUCCAUAGCUGGUCUGAGAGGACGAUCAGCCACACUGGGACUGAGACACGGCCCAGACUCCUACGGGAGGCAGCAGUUAGGAAUCUUGGACAAUGGGCGCAAGCCUGAUCCAGCCAUGCCGCGUGAGUGAUGAAGGCCUUCGGGUUGUAAAGCUCUUUAGUCCACGAAUAUAAUGACUGUAGUGGAAGAAUAAGCCCCGGCUAACUUCGUCGCCAGCAGCCGC